rnacentral:snRNA from 1 species
UCCGCUUCUCGGCCUUUUGGCUAAGAUCAAAUGUAGUAUUUAAUAAAUGGGCCAAUGGCCUACCAACGAUAUUAAAGUCAUUUUUUAAGGGGAAGUUCCACCAUAUUAGCUUGUUAUUGGACCCUUUUAAGCCUUAACCAAAGCCUAACCGUA